CUNGGCGAGAUUCUUCGGGAGCAGCCGUGCGGAAUCUUCGCAAUGAAGAAAGUAGUCGGGGCAGCUCGCUGACGUAAGCACGUUUCGGACGUAAAUUCGUUCGUAAGGAAGAACAAUUCCGUNAAUAGGUCGGCACAUGCAGGUUCCUAUCCGAUAANCACGCCCACUCGUACUAAGCAGGCGAGGCUACUAUGUUGUUGUCAAAUGUGUCCGGAACUAUUCCGCGGCAAGGGGUCCGCAAGAGGCUUAUUAGUAUGUGCUGAAAGCCCGCGGCUCACCUCCCAGAGGGUCAUGGAAACUGGGUUACUGGAGAGCGGAAGAUCAAAGGGGAACUCCANNUAGCGGUGAAAUGUGUAGGAUUAUUGGUCGGACAACAGUGGCGACCGGGAAUUACCGUCUGUAACUGACAGGGAAGCGCGUGAGCAACAGAGCAAACUAGACUAGAUAGCCUCUCCUCCAAAACGUAAACGAUGAGUGAUAUGCCCCAGGGGGUGUCCGCCCUUUAGCAAAUGCAGUUAACGCACUCACCACUCGGCGUGGGGAGUACGGUCGCAAGACUGAAACUCAAAGGAAUGGACGGCGGCCCGCACAAGCGGUGGAGCAUGAGGUUANUAGAAGCAACGCGAAGUAGAGANUUCGCCAUGGCUCAGAUUGAACGCUGGCGGCAGGCCUAACACAUGCAAGUCGAGCGGUAGCACAGAGAGCUUGCUCUCGGGUGACGAGCGGCGGACGGGUGAGUAAUGUCUGGGAAACUGCCUGAUGGAGGGGGAUAACUACUGGAAACGGUAGCUAAUACCGCAUAACGUCGCAAGACCAAAGAGGGGGACCUUCGGGCCUCUUGCCAUCAGAUGUGCCCAGAUGGGAUUAGCUAGUAGGUGGGGUAAUGGCUCACCUAGGCGACGAUCCCUAGCUGGUCUGAGAGGAUGACCAGCCACACUGGAACUGAGACACGGUCCAGACUCCUACGGGAGGCAGCAGUGGGGAAUAUUGCACAAUGGGCGCAAGCCUGAUGCAGCCAUGCCGCGUGUAUGAAGAAGGCCUUCGGGUUGUAAAGUACUUUCAGCGAGGAGGAAGGCAUUGUGGUUAAUAACCACAGUGAUUGACGUACUCGCAGAAGAAGCACCGGCUAACUCCGUGCCAGCAGCCGCGGUAAUACGGAGGGUGCAAGCGUUAAUCGGAAUUACUGGGCGUAAAGCGCACGCAGGCGGUCUGUCAAGUCGGAUGUGAAAUCCCCGGGCUCAACCUGGGAACUGCAUUCGAAACUGGCAGGCUAGAGUCUUGUAGAGGGGGGUAGAAUUCCAGGUGUAGCGGUGAAAUGCGUAGAGAUCUGGAGGAAUACCGGUGGCGAAGGCGGCCCCCUGGACAAAGACUGACGCUCAGGUGCGAAAGCGUGGGGAGCAAACAGGAUUAGAUACCCUGGUAGUCCACGCCGUAAACGAUGUCGACUUGGAGGUUGUUCCCUUGAGGAGUGGCUUCCGGAGCUAACGCGUUAAGUCGACCGCCUGGGGAGUACGGCCGCAAGGUUAAAACUCAAAUGAAUUGACGGGGGCCCGCACAAGCGGUGGAGCAUGUGGUUUAAUUCGAUGCAACGCGAAGAACCUUACCUACUCUUGACAUCCAGAGAAUUUAGCAGAGAUGCUUUAGUGCCUUCGGGAACUCUGAGACAGGUGCUGCAUGGCUGUCGUCAGCUCGUGUUGUGAAAUGUUGGGUUAAGUCCCGCAACGAGCGCAACCCUUAUCCUUUGUUGCCAGCGGUUCGGCCGGGAACUCAAAGGAGACUGCCAGUGAUAAACUGGAGGAAGGUGGGGAUGACGUCAAGUCAUCAUGGCCCUUACGAGUAGGGCUACACACGUGCUACAAUGGCGUAUACAAAGAGAAGCGACCUCGCGAGAGCAAGCGGACCUCAUAAAGUACGUCGUAGUCCGGAUUGGAGUCUGCAACUCGACUCCAUGAAGUCGGAAUCGCUAGUAAUCGUAGAUCAGAAUGCUACGGUGAAUACGUUCCCGGGCCUUGUACACACCGCCCGUCACACCAUGGGAGUGGGUUGCAAAAGAAGUAGGUAGCUUAACCUUCGGGAGGGCGCUACCACUUUUGNUCA
rnacentral:rRNA from 1 species